UACGGGGGGGGCAAGCGUUGUUCGGAAUUACUGGGCGUAAAGGGUUUGUAGGUGGCUGGCUAAGCCACACGUGAAAUCCCUCAGCUUAACUGGGGAACUGCGUGUGGGACUGGCGAGCUUGAGGACAGGAGAGGAACGCGGAAUUCCAGGUGUAGCGGUGAAAUGCGUAGAUAUCUGGAGGAAUACCAGUGGCGAAGGCGGCUUACUGGCUCAUUCCUGACGCUGAGGAGCGAAAGCGUGGGGAGCAAACGGG
rnacentral:rRNA from 1 species